rnacentral:rRNA from 1 species
CAUGUUUUUCUUAUCAAAGCUCCGGCGGUGCAGGAUGGACCCGCGUCUGAUUAGCUAGUUGGUGAGGUAAUGGCUCACCAAGGCGACGAUCAGUAGCCGACCUGAGAGGGUGAUCGGCCACAUUGGAACUGAGACACGGUCCAAACUCCUACGGGAGGCAGCAGUGGGGAAUAUUGCACAAUGGGCGAAAGCCUGAUGCAGCAACGCCGCGUGAGCGAUGAAGGCCUUCGGGUCGUAAAGCUCUGUCCUCAAGGAAGAUAAUGACGGUACUUGAGGAGGAAGCCCCGGCUAACUACGUGCCAGCAGCCGCGGUAAUACGUAGGGGGCUAGCGUUAUCCGGAUUUACUGGGCGUAAAGGGUGCGUAGGCGGUCUUUUAAGUCAGGAGUGAAAGGCUACGGCUCAACCGUAGUAAGCUCUUGAAACUGGAGGACUUGAGUGCAGGAGAGGAGAGUGGAAUUCCUAGUGUAGCGGUGAAAUGCGUAGAUAUUAGGAGGAACACCAGUAGCGAAGGCGGCUCUCUGGACUGUAACUGACGCUGAGGCACGAAAGCGUGGGGAGCAAACAGGAUUAGAUACCCUGGUAGUCCACGCCGUAAACGAUGAGUGGUAGCUGUCGGAGGUUACCCCCUUCGGUGGCGCAG